GUUGACGCCUGCAACUAUCAUAUAGUUGCCCUUUAGGUUAUCCUCGACAUGGACUGUGAUCUAGAAACCCUACAGGGAGACAGUUUUGAUGCUUGUCAUUGCAGGUGUACUAAAGGAUUGACAGACUAAAAUUGUAUCAGACUACAUGCAGUUAUGCUGCUCAAGUGGAGUUUGUGGGGCUACUGGCAAGAUCCUAAACAUCUGCUGCAGUCUGAGUUCUGAAGGGACAAAUUAUUAUAGUAAAGAAAAUCUGGUAACUUGCUGGUCACAAGUUCUGGGGCAAAGCAUGAAAAAUAGACUUGUAUUCUCAAGGUUUCACAUGAUGCUGUUUUGAUGACCUCUAAACAAACUCAUCGCGGCAACAUCUUUGCAUGCGCACUUCUAAUUUACCAGACUCUGUGCGUCUUGCAUCAGGCAGAUUUGGCUGCAACUUAUCUCACUGACUGGGUCCCAAAACCGAAGUAAAAAUGCUGCUGAUGAAAUGUCUUUACGGGUACACUCAGUAUCUGCAGGUGUAAAACUGUGGUGCUGGAGUUCUUUAAAAGGUGUACUAAAGGAUUGACAGAUUAAAGUUGUGGUGCCGACUACAUGUAGUUUGCUGAAGUGGAGUUUGUGGGGCUACUGGCAAGGUCCUAAACAUCUGCUGCAGUUUGACUUCUGAAGGGACAAAUCAUUAUAGUAAAGGUAAUUACUACUUGUGUUCAGAAUCUGCACAACUCUGUUCACUUGGUUUCAGAUAGAAAGAAAUGGGGAAAGGUCUGUCUGAACUAUUUCCUGACCCUAACCUGCCCUGCUCCAGACUGCGCUUCCGGGGUCCUUUUACAGCCCCGCCGAUGACAUCCCUAAAGGGGAGGGGCAAGCAGACUUGAGACUAUAAAAAGCCAGCAUUUGAAGGUGGUGGUGAGAGCAGAGCUCAAGCCUUACCCGCGAGGAGCAGUGCGAGGUCGACCCGAACCCGCCGACCCACGGGUAUCGGUCAGCCUGCACAUCGGUCAGCCUGCACAUCAUGAGUUGCCGACCCUGUUAACCGAAAUGGAUACAUUUAGUUGAUACAUUUCUAAUCUUUGUCCCUGCUGAGCAGAAUCCCUGGCUUUCAUUAAAGCAAAUCUGUUAACUUUCUGGUCACAAGUUCAUUGGCAAAGAACAAGACUGAUGUGCUCAAGGGGUCACAUGAUACGGAUUUGAUAACAUCUAAAUAAACUCACUGCAGAAACGUCGGCCAUUUCAACGGUGCAUUGGACUGACUUGGAUCCGAAAACAGGAGCUCAAAUGCUGCUGAUAAAAUGGCAAUGGGUACUCUCCAUCUGCAGGUGUAAAACUGGUGCUGGAGUUCUGUAAAAGGUUGACACAUCUAUCAGCUGCAGCUACCAUAUAGUUGCCUAUUCUCCUUAAGACAUGGGCUGUGAUAUGGCAACCCUGCAGACAGUCUUGAUGUUUCUCAUUGCAGGUGUACUAAAAGAUUGACAGACUAAAGUUGUGGUGCCAGACUACAUACAGUUAUGAUGCUGAAGUGGAGUUUGUGGGGCUACUGGAACAACUGCUGCAGUCUGACUUCUGAAGGGACAAAUCAUUAUAGUAAAGCUUGUGUUCAGAAUCUGCACAACUCUGCAAAUCUUAACUUGCUGGUCACAAGUUCUGGGGCAAAGCAUGAAAAAGACUGAUGUGCUCAAGGUGUCGCCUGAUUCCUGUUUUGAUAACCUCUAAAUAAACUGAUUUUGACUGA